AGUUGCACUGUAGCCUCGGCAGUGAACCGGGAGGUACUACCAGGUAAGGAAGGUGCGGUGGCCCCAGCCGUGGGUGAGAGGAGCUCCGCUCUGACACCCCCGCUCCUGUAGGUCGCCGUCGUUGCUCCGCUCGCUCUGAGAGAGCAUGGCCCUGAGAGGCGUCUCCGUGCGGCUGCUGAGCCGCGGACCCGGCCUGCACGUCCUUCGCACGUGGGUCUCGUCGGCGGCGCAGACCGCCUCGCGUCCCGAGUUUGACUGGCAGGACCCGCUGGUGCUGGAGGAGCAGCUGACCACAGAUGAGAUCCUCAUCAGGGACACCUUCCGCACCUACUGCCAGGAGAGACUCAUGCCUCGCAUCCUGUUGGCCAAUCGCAACGAAGGAUAUGGCUGUGCUGGGGUUUCGUCUGUGGCCUAUGGGCUCCUGGCCCGAGAGCUGGAGCGGGUGGACAGUGGCUACAGGUCGGCGAUGAGUGUCCAGUCCUCCCUUGUCAUGCACCCUAUCUAUGCCUAUGGCAGCGAGGAACAGCGGCAGAAGUACCUGCCCCGGCUGGCCAAGGGGGAGCUCCUGGGCUGCUUCGGGCUCACAGAGCCCAACAGUGGAAGUGACCCCAGCAGCAUGGAGACCAGAGCCCACUACAACUCAUCCAACAAGAGCUACACCCUCAAUGGGACCAAGACCUGGAUCACGAACUCGCCUAUGGCCGAUCUGUUUGUAGUGUGGGCUCGGUGUGAAGAUGGCUGCAUUCGGGGCUUCCUGCUGGAGAAGGGGAUGCGAGGUCUCUCGGCCCCCAGGAUCCAGGGCAAGUUCUCGCUGCGGGCCUCAGCCACAGGCAUGAUCAUCAUGGACGGUGUGGAGGUGCCAGAGGAGAAUGUGCUCCCUGGUGCAUCCAGCCUGGGGGGUCCCUUCGGCUGCCUGAACAACGCCCGGUACGGCAUCGCGUGGGGCGUGCUUGGAGCUUCGGAGUUCUGCUUGCACACAGCCCGGCAGUACGCCCUCGACAGGAUGCAGUUUGGUGUCCCGCUGGCCAGGAACCAGCUGAUUCAGAAGAAGCUGGCAGACAUGCUCACUGAGAUUACCCUGGGCCUUCACGCCUGCCUGCAGCUCGGCCGCUUGAAGGACCAGGACAAGUAGGGGCUGUGUGGUGGGGGCGGGGGGAUGGCAGCGGUGGCUGGAGGA
rnacentral:sRNA from 1 species